rnacentral:lncRNA from 1 species
GGAGACGCUCCCGGAGAAGGUGGCGGGAGCGGAGGAGCGAGGGGAAAGUGGGAGGGAGGAGAAGGCCUCGCCAGCUGGAGCCCAGCGACAGGAACCCAAGUCUUUAGCCGCCUUCCCGCGUUGUUCGCAAACCGGCGGUGGGUACCAGCGAUCGCCGCUGGAGAAGGCAAGGAAGUCUCCGCGCGCGUGGGUUUCCCCUCUGUGCGAAUCUUUUGAGGUGGAGCCUGGAACAAGACAGCAAGAUAUCGGUGUGAAACCUCCUGAUUGAAGUGACAUGGGGAACACUGCUACUGAAACAUGCUGUCUCUGCGAGACAUACCCACGCGGCAAAACGAGGACAAGUGCACUGGGCUCGAUGUUAUGUAACUCGCAUAGGACUCUCUCUCCUGGCAAGAAAAUGAUCCAAAACAUGAAGACUAGCAUUUAUGAAUUAUUUACUCAUACAAACGCACAUCUAGCAAAUACCUCCCACGUACUAACAGCCGUAUCUGGAAAUCAAUUAAUGUCAGUCUGUGCAGGUAUUGUUGGGUGCAACAGGCCUCAGCACUGAGAACAUCUGCAACCUCACAUUCAUCAGGAAAAACAGCAUCUUGUCUUCCAAACAUAUACUUGCCAUCAGCUUCCAACCACUGAGACUUCUGGGUGUCUCCAUGUUUUCUGCAGACAGCUUCCUAAGCCGCUGCAGGAGAGGAUACCAGCAUCCGUUAAAGUUACUUUGGGAACCUGUGUUUCAUUAAACAGAAGGGUACAAAGUCCCAGCUUAAUCAAGC